CUCCCUGGAGCUGGUGGAGAUAAAAGAAACCUGGAGUGAAUUAAACACCCCAAAGACAAUUCCAUACUGCAAUGGCCACAAGCUUAACAGAGGGCACCAGGAACGCUGGUGAAGCGGGAGGGACGCUCUGGCGGACCACAGCCCUUUGAGAGCAGGAGCUCGCAGGGCCAGCUCUGUCUGCUUUUUAAGGGAAGCUGCAAAUCCGGAUCAUUAGGCAAGAUCUCUCCAUUCUCAAAUCAGCUAGCAGCUAAUUCAAAUGCCGAGCAGCAGUGGUGGGUGGCAGCACCCAGCAGGGUAUGGGCAGGGGGGUGUGC
rnacentral:lncRNA from 1 species